rnacentral:rRNA from 1 species
GAUGAACGCUGGCGGCGUGCCUAAUACAUGCAAGUAGAACGCUGAAGCUUGGUGCUUGCACCGAGCGGAUGAGUUGCGAACGGGUGAGUAACGCGUAGGUAACCUGCCUGGUAGCGGGGGAUAACUAUUGGAAACGAUAGCUAAUACCGCAUAACAGUAGAUAUUGCAUGAUAUCUGCUUGAAAGGGGCAAUUGCUCCACUACCAGAUGGACCUGCGUUGUAUUAGCUAGUUGGUGAGGUAACGGCUCACCAAGGCGACGAUACAUAGCCGACCUGAGAGGGUGAUCGGCCACACUGGGACUGAGACACGGCCCAGACUCCUACGGGAGGCAGCAGUAGGGAAUCUUCGGCAAUGGACGGAAGUCUGACCGAGCAACGCCGCGUGAGUGAAGAAGGUUUUCGGAUCGUAAAGCUCUGUUGUAAGAGAAGAACGAGUGUGAGAGUGGAAAGUUCACACUGUGACGGUAACUUACCAGAAAGGGACGGCUAACUACGUGCCAGCAGCCGCGGUAAUACGUAGGUCCCGAGCGUUAUCCGGAUUUAUUGGGCGUAAAGCGAGCGCAGGCGGUUAGAUAAGUCUGAAGUUAAAGGCUGUGGCUUAACCAUAGUACGCUUUGGAAACUGUUUAACUUGAGUGCAGAAGGGGAGAGUGGAAUUCCAUGUGUAGCGGUGAAAUGCGUAGAUAUAUGGAGGAACACCGGUGGCGAAAGCGGCUCUCUGGUCUGUAACUGACGCUGAGGCUCGAAAGCGUGGGGAGCAAACAGG